rnacentral:rRNA from 1 species
GACGAACGCUGGCGGCGUGCUUAACACAUGCAAGUCGAACGGAAAGGCCCUGCUUUUGUGGGGUGCUCGAGUGGCGAACGGGUGAGUAACACGUGAGUAACCUGCCCUUGACUUUGGGAUAACUUCAGGAAACUGGGGCUAAUACCGGAUAGGAGCUCCUGCUGCAUGGUGGGGGUUGGAAAGUUUCGGCGGUUGGGGAUGGACUCGCGGCUUAUCAGCUUGUUGGUGUGGUAGUGGCUUACCAAGGCUUUGACGGGUAGCCGGCCUGAGAGGGUGACCGGCCACAUUGGGACUGAGAUACGGCCCAGACUCCUACGGGAGGCAGCAGUGGGGAAUAUUGCACAAUGGGCGGAAGCCUGAUGCAGCAACGCCGCGUGCGGGAUGACGGCCUUCGGGUUGUAAACCGCUUUCGCCUGUGACGAAGCGUGAGUGACGGUAAUGGGUAAAGAAGCACCGGCUAUCUACGUG